UCGAGAAUCUUCGGCAAUGGGCGAAAGCCUGACCGAGCGACGCCGCGUGAGGGAUUGAAGGCCUUCGGGUUGUAAACCUCUUUCGUAGAGGAGGAAGGGGCCGUGCAGAGCGGUCUUUGACCUAUUCUAGGAAGAAGCUUGGGCUAAGUUCGUGCCAGCAGCCGCGGUAAGACGAACCAAGCGAACGUUAUUCGGAAUUACUGGGCUUAAAGCGCGUGUAGGCGGAUGACCACGUCGAUUGUUGAAAUCCCCCGGCUCAACCGGGGAACUGGCGUCGAUACGAGUUGUCUGGAGGUGGGUAGGGGAGACUGGAACUUCCGGUGGAGCGGUGAAAUGCGUUGAGAUCGGAAGGAACGCCCGCGGCGAAAGCGAGUCUCUGGACCCAUACUGACGCUGAGACGCGAAAGCCAGGGGAGCAAACG
rnacentral:rRNA from 1 species